GAUGAACGCUGGCGGCGUGCCUAAUACAUGCAAGUCGAGCGAACAGACGAGAGUGCUUGCAUUCUCUGACGUUAGCGGCGGACGGGUGAGUAACACGUGGGUAACCUACCUAUAAGACUGGGAUAACUUCGGGAAACCGGAGCUAAUACCGGAUAAUAUUUAGCUUCGCAUGAAGCAAUAGUGAAAGACGGUUCUGCUGUCACUUAUAGAUGGACCCGCGGUGUAUUAGCUAGUUGGUGAGGUAACGGCUCACCAAGGCAACGAUACAUAGCCGACCUGAGAGGGUGAUCGGCCACACUGGGACUGAGACACGGCCCAGACUCCUACGGGAGGCAGCAGUAGGGAAUCUUCCGCAAUGGACGAAAGUCUGACGGAGCAAUGCCGCGUGAGUGAAGAAGGUUUUCGGAUCGUAAAACUCUGUUGUAAGGGAAGAACAAGUACGUUAGUAACUGAACGUACCUUGACGGUACCUUACCAGAAAGCCACGGCUAACUACGUG
rnacentral:rRNA from 1 species